UACGGGGGGGGCAAGCGUUGUUCGGAAUUACUGGGCGUAAAGGGCUCGUAGGCGGCCAACUAAGUCGGAUGUGAAAUCCCCAGGCUUAACCUGGGAACUGCAUCCGAUACUGGAUGGCUUGAAUCCGGGAGAGGGAUGCGGAAUUCCAGGUGUAGCGGUGAAAUGCGUAGAUAUCUGGAGGAACACCGGUGGCGAAGGCGGCAUCCUGGACCAUUACUGACGCUGAAUCGCGAAAGCUAGGGGAGCAAACGGG
rnacentral:rRNA from 1 species